UCUUAUGGAUAAGCAAAGAAAGUGGUUUCUUGAGAUGGAAUCUACUUCUGAAGAUGCUGUGAA
rnacentral:pre_miRNA from 3 species